ACGCUGGCGGCACGCCUAACACAUGCAAGUCGAACGAAGUAGCAAUACUUAGUGGCAGACGGGUGAGUAACAUGUAGGUAUCUGCCCUUUGGCCUGGAAUAACACGAGGAAACUUGUGCUAAUACCGGAUAAGUCUUUACGGAGAAAGCUUUAUGCACCAUUGGAUGAGCCUGCACUUGAUUAGUUUGUUGGUGGGGUAAUGGCCUACCAAGACUGUGAUCAAUAGCUGAUUUGAGAGGAUGAUCAGCCACAUUGGGACUGAGACACGGCCCAAACUCCUACGGGAGGCAGCAGUGGGGAAUCUUGCACAAUGGAGGAAACUCUGAUGCAGCGAUGCCGCGUGAGUGAAGAAGGCCCUUGGGUUGUAAAGCUCUUUCGUCGGGGAAGAAAAUGACUGUACCCGAAUAAGAAGGUCCGGCUAACUUCGUGCCAGCAGCCGCGGUAAUACGAAGGGACCUAGCGUAGUUCGGAAUUACUGGGCUUAAAGAGUUCGUAGGUGGUUGAAAAAGUUGGUGGUGAAAUCCCAGAGCUUAACUCUGGAACUGCCAUCAAAACUUUUCAGCUAGAGUAUGAUAGAGGAAAGCAGAAUUUCUAGUGUAGAGGUGAAAUUCGUAGAUAUUAGAAAGAAUACCAAUUGCGAAGGCAGCUUUCUGGAUCAUUACUGACACUGAGGAACGAAAGCAUGGGUAGCGAAGAGGAUUAGAUACCCUCGUAGUCCAUGCCGUAAACGAUGUGUGUUAGACGUUGGAAAUUUAUUUUCAGUGUCGCAGCGAAAGCGAUAAACACACCGCCUGGGGAGUACGACCGCAAGGUUAAAACUCAAAUGAAUUGACGGGGACCCGCACAAGUAGUGGAGCAUGUGGUUUAAUUCGAAGAUACGCGCAGAACCUUACCAACACUUGACAUGUUCGUCGCGACUCUAAGAGAUUAGAGUUUUCGGUUCGGCCGGACGAAACACAGGUGCUGCAUGGCUGUCGUCAGCUCGUGUCGUGAGAUGUUGGGUUAAGUCCCGCAACGAGCGCAACCCUCACUUUUAGUUGCCAUCAUUAAGUUGGGCACUCUGAAAGAACUGCCAGUGAUAAGCUGGAGGAAGGUGGGGAUGACGUCAAGUCCUCAUGGCCCUUACGUGUUGGGCUACACACGUGCUACAAUGGUAUCUACAACAGGAAGCAAGACUGCGAAGUUAAGCAAAUCCCUAAAAGAUACCUCAGUUCGGAUUGCACUCUGCAACUCGAGUGCAUGAAGCUGGAAUUACUAGUAAUCGUGGAUCAGCGUGCCACGGUGAAUGCGUUCCCGGGUCUUGUACACACCGC
rnacentral:rRNA from 1 species